AUCUAUGACAACACUUAAUGGAAAAAAAUAAUCUAUUGCAUCUCUUUUUGAUUUUCCUCCAUAACAUUUGACAUAAGCCUGCCAAAAGAAAAUUUCUCAAUAGAAAAAUAUCAAAAACCCCUCUUCUUUCUCAUAAAAACAUAACCCUAUUUCUUUCUCAUUAACAAAAAUCGAUUGUAAUUACACUGUCAAAAAUUUCUCAUCGAGUAAAGGAGACGGAAGUUACAGUAUUGUGAUUUGCUAAAAAAACUCAUUUCUCAAUCAAUUGAAAAUUCAUUUCUCCUCAAUAAAAAAAUCUAGAAAAAAUAAAUUUUGGGGGUGAUUUUGUAGCUCCAAUUGCCUGGAAAUGGAAUAAAGUAGAUGGAUCAAAAACCCAUUGCCUGAAAAUGAAAAUGCGAUAAGUAGCUGCAAUCAAAAACCCAUGUCUCCUUAAUUUAUUAGACUUGUUAUAAUUUUCAUUGUUGUUGUUCGGUUGCGGUAAGAGCGAAUUGAAAUUUAACACUUAGCUUUUUGUAGACUGGUGGAAGGGAGACAAAAAAGUUAAUGACUAUUGGAGCUCCGAUGAGUCGGCAUUCAGCAUUUUAAGAGUUGCCGUUUCAGAAUUUGGAGAUUUUAAGAGGUCUUUAAACAGGUUUUGGAGAUAGUUUUAUAUAUGACAUUUUUCUCGCCAACUAGAUCCAUGGAUAUGUGGAGUCUCUGGCCAUUGAUGAUGGAGGCCCUUGUAGAUUGAGCUAUUGACUUCUUUCCAAAUAUACAGGUUCCUUUAGACAACUAUAUAUCCAGGAUUAUUGCCCACUUUCUCACUUGCAAGGAUAUUGACUACCAACAAAGCCUUUGAAAUAUCAUAUCAUCUGUUAUGAGAGAUAAAAAUUUGGAGGAUAGUUACAUUGAUUCAGUACCUAAGCUUAUUCAAGUUGUAUUCCAUCAAUGCAAGGGACAAGUGGAUCAGUGGAUUGAACCAUACAUCUGAAUCACAAUUGAACGUCUCCAUCAAACCGAGAAAGUAUAUCUGAAAUGUCUCUUGGUCCAAGUGGUUCAGGUGCUCAGUUUCAGUAGCGUGAGUAAUUUCGAGCAUCUCCAUCUACAUUCCGACAGCUGAUAUCAGUCAUGGGUUGGUUUGUGGUCCUUCGGGGUCAUCAGCACCGUGUAGCAUUUCGGGUACCAGAGUUGGGGCAUUACAUGGAGGUCCUACUUCUAAUCCCCAAAAUCCAUAUUCAGGUUGGGGUCUGACCUAUAACCCCAGUUGGAAGGGUGUCAGUACUGUGCCAUGGGUAAACAUAAGUUGCUGAGUCACUCUUAUCUAGAAAGUGAUUUGAAUAAGAACGGUGGUACCCUCAACUGGCAGGUAAGACGCAUCAUCAACCCUCAUCUGGUAGGUUGAUGUCUCAACCUAUGCUGGCUACGUAGUUUUGGAAUGCAAGGACUAUUUCUAAGGAUCACACCUUCUACUGGCAGGACUUGGGAUGAAUUUGUUUGCUGUGAAUGAUGAGAAGUUCAUAGACAUGUUCAUUGAACUUGGAGCUAUAGAUUCUCUAGAAAAUGAAUGGCAAUCGCUUCAGAAAUGACAAAAUCCUACAUUCUUGCUUCUAUGAGUUCAAAAGUGUGGCUAGAGCUCUUUGACAAACAACCAAUUUUCACUCAUUAUCAUAGUGGCUGACAACUUAUUUGGCUUCACAUUUUGUGAAUCCAACUAAUGCUCAGUGUCCAAAAUGAAGAAGGAGAUGAAGAAAUUGACCUUACUUGAGAAUAUUUUUGAAUUGUUAAUAGAUGCUUUAAUAUCAAUCUUUUUGAUAUUGAAUUUAGUGAUACUUAUCACCACUCGAACUUGAUACUAUAUGAGAAAACUAAUAAUCAUUUGACUUUAUACAUUUUGCUUUUGCAUUUAGAUUACUA